AACCUGGUUGAUCCUGCCAGUAGUCAUAUGCUUGUCUCAAAGACUAAGCCAUGCAUGUCUAAGUAUAAGUAUUAUACAGCGAAACUGCGAAUGGCUCAUUAAAACAGUUAUAGUUUAUUUGAU
rnacentral:rRNA from 1 species